rnacentral:lncRNA from 1 species
CCCACGAAUAGAGAAAAUCAUCAAGACCAGUGACAACACCAAUGAUGAAUGAUGCAAUGAAAAUUCGAGGUGUUAUCAAGUAAUACUUGGCAUUAAUGCCUUCGGUUUUUCGACGAUAGAAGUAUAGGAUGGCAAGAGGUAUAAGGGUGAAUGGCCAUCCAGCCGUUUGUAACCAACUGCUAAACCAAACUCUUGAACCUCCCUCGACAUAAUAUAGACGCAUCAUUAGAGGACCACCGCAUAUACCCACAGCUAGUAUUAAACAAUUAAUCAACAGGAGGAUUCUCCUCAUAGUGGUGCUUAAUCCUUGAUUUUCCAUACUUUUUUGCAAGCGAUUUGGAUACUAUGUUGGAGUAGUCUGCUGCUCAGGCUGAAUGGACUUCUUCUUCUACUACUAAGGUAUGGAAUUUUGGAUCUGUUGCGGUGCUGAGAUCUGUACUCUGCUAUUUAUAAAUGAGAAACAUCUUAGUACAUUCCCAUGAUUUGUUUCACGUCAUGGAGUGGCCCCACUUUAAGAAGGCUUUCUUCUGAUUUAAUUAAUUGCAGUACUAGAAAUUUUCAUAUGAUUCACAAGGGAAGGAUAUAACAAUUAAAAAAUAUUAGAGCAAAGACCAAAAAAGCAAUGAUUGUGAGUAGAUUUGUUGUUAAAUUGCAACGUUGAAUUUCUAGGAAAAACUAUUAGCGGACCAUGGACUGUGCCGUGUAAAUAGCCUUGCCUAUUCUACUGGUUAGCGUUGAAUUUUGCACUUGCACAAGACAAAAAUAUGGAUUAAAAUUAAUAAGGAUGGGACAAACGUGGGUUUAGCUAAGAGUUGAAUAAUUAUCAGUGGGUAGGUAGAACCUUGCAUUUCCACCUGUGAAGAGAAACAUAUGAAUAGUCACCCAUAAACUUAACGUGGGUUUUAGUUAACUUUAUUCGAAUUCAAUAAAUAUGAUUAGCCCCUCAUAUGCCAACAAUAACAGUUUUUCUUAUAUGAAAGCGUGCCGAGAACCAGAAAGGAUUCAGACCUCUCCAGUGAUAUGGGCACUUUUAAAUCUGCAACACCUGUCCAAUUUAAAAUUCAAUGUUUCAGUUGGCCACAAAUAACUGUUAGACAUGUUUACAACACGACAAAAAAAAAAGACAGGAAUUAAGAAAAAGAAAAUCAAAAUUGGACGGCUUCUCGAUUUUUUUUUUAGUGUUGUUAGGACCGAAAAAAAUCAGGUAUUAUGCGUAAGCUGGUAAAGCAAACCUUGAACGAUGAUAAAUCAUACCACAAAAGAAAAAUCUACCAAAAGAGAUGUAAACAUUUAAUGUGGUUCGGUCAGUUGACCUACGUCCAUAACGGAGAUGAGCAAUCAACUAUAAUAAAAGAGAGUACAAAAUAUCGAGAGAACAACCUCACGAAGAGGCAAACACAAGUGACACACUAAAACUUGUCCCGUAAAGUUCUCCCCCUAAAUACAACUCUCAAACCCCAUAUGGCUACAUUUGUGGAUGCUAAUGAAUGAGAAGGAAGGAUCCUCAAUUUAUAGAGGUCUAAAACAUUUUCCUACAAGAAAAGGACUAGCUAAAUAUGGAAGAUUUAUAAUUUUCUUCUACAAGAAGAAAAAUCCAAUUAUGAUAAAUAUGUUGCCCUUUCUUUUGAGAGAUAGGGAAACCAAAUAUAGUAAGAAAAUAAGGACAAACACCUAACAAUGUGCUUAAGAACACCCGACUGUCAAGAUUGAGCUGAUCAUCAAUAUUGUAACUUUGAAAAUAUUAGCUAUUGAUCACGUCCAACUUUAGUCCUAAAAAGGAUAAGUGGUCACUGCAAAUAUAUUCCGAUCUAAGAGUUCGGAGUCAAAUUCUACAGAGAACUAAGGUUUAACUACAACUGUUCACUAUCAACAUGAAGACAAACUCGAGCAAUUUCUAAAGUUAUAAAUAUAAAGGCUCUUAUGUCUAACUAAUUAAUUAAUUUAAACCAGAGAUACUAAGGGUUGAAGACAAGAUUAAGGGGCCUAGAGUUAUGAUUUCACCAAUUGUCGGAAUCCUUCCAGCUACGUCUCCUAUAAUUUUGCCUAAGUAUUCUUUACUGAUCUUGAUCACUUCAUGUAUCGUAAUUCUCUCCCGAGCAACUACAACAAUUUACUAGACAUAUUCUCUUGAACUACACUAGCUACCUGGCACUAUCUUACCGCUCACUAUGAUCACAUCAAGGCUUUGUUAUUCAUAAACCCACCGUAUUAAUUUCUCACAUACGUUAGGAGUGACGUUGUUCAACAACCACCUAAAUAUGUACUCUUUCCCAAAUAAUACAUAAUAAAUAGGCACAAUCAAUUGAUGGCCAUUCAAUCAACAACAAUAAAUACGUAGUUGAACAAGUAGAGAAAUUCAAAGGCUCAAUUAUAUAAAAACAUAACAAGAAUUUAUCCUACAAAAUGUUCCAUCAGAACCCUAGAUAAGAGAUUAGCUAUUAAUAAUAGUAUGUAAAACUACAAUACUAAAAUUUAUGACUAAUAAUGGAAAUUGAAAGAAGAAAGGAAAAACUUAUUGUCGAAUCUUCCACCUUGCUCCUUGCGUGUUCCUCCUCUCCAAAUUCUUCUCUAACCCUAAAGUACUGUCUCGAUCCCCGCUUCAAAAGGACUCUUUAGGAUAUAUUUAUAUCAAUUAGGGGUUGUAUGGGGCAGAACUAAUCAAUACAAUCUCGGAUAGGAAAGCUAGAAUUCACAUCAACUUUCGUGCAUUGUGUGACUAUAGGCGCGGAUUCAACUUUUGAAAUUUUUUCAUUUUGCGAAGCGAUCCGUGCCUUCGCUCCACUUUACUGUUUUGUGCAUUCAAUUGUCUCCUUUUUCGUGUCCGCUUUCGUGCCAUGGGCGAGAAUGGACGAGCUCCCGGUUCUUCCACCUUUUUCUUUUUGCAACAAAUUGAGAUCUUUUGAUCAAAUAUCAUCAAAACUCGUUACUACACAUAAGAAACACGUAAUGAGCAUAUUUUACUUCAAAAACUUUUGCAACUCACACAAGAAAUAAUAUGCAAAUAUACUAAAAACAUGCACUUUUCAUCAUUUAUCUGCUAUGCAAUACGGGUGUCCAUGAAACUCUAGUAAAGUAGUCCACAUUUCGCACGAUUGUGAAACACUUUAGUGAAUUUUGAAAUAAGUUUUUUAUAGUUUAAUCGAGAUAGAAGAGUUAUUAUUUCCUUAUGUAUUUCCAUAUAAAAUAAUUCUAUCUUGGCGACAUUACAAAUAAAAAUAUUUUUAAUUGAAUUAGAGCUUAGAUGAUUUAUAAGAUUUUCUUUAAACACGAUGAAAAAGAAAAAGAACUUUAAAGGAAUUUUUUUUACUUAUAGAUGUGUUAAUAUACGUGGUUUAAUACAUGAUUCUCUAAGUGUAGCAUAUAUAUUAAAUAUAUGUAUAUAGGUAUUUUUUUUUUAUUUGAUCCUAAAAUAAUAAAAUAAUGUAAAUCUCUUAAUGAAGUCUACAAGCAAGAACAAAAAUAGAGUUACGAGUUUAUUUUCAAUUGAAACGAAAAACAAAAAAAAGCUGAUCGCGGAUGACAUUAGUUUGCCAAAGCUUGUUAACGAUGAAAACUUCGAUGGAAUGCACUUUGUAGAGGGGAUAAAAAGGAUAUAGUGUCAGAAGGCAAAAUUACAGUCAAUGCAGGGACUAAACUUACAUAUUUAUGUUAAUUGAUGGUCAAAUUGCUAAGUUAAAUAAUAUGUGGACUAAAUAAUAAUUAGGUAACAAUACAAAGACCAAAAAUACUAUUUUCCAUCUAGAAUAGUACCCCAACCAUGACUUGCGCCAUGUAAAUAGCCAUAUCCAUAUAUACUACUAGUUGGCGGGGAAAUUUGCGUUUUCACUUUUCUUGAAACCAUUUUCCACUUGUGAAGACAAAAAUGGAGUGAAAUAAACAAAUUGGGUUUUAGAUAACAUUGCUUUUUAAGAUGGAAUACAUAUUGAAAAUAGAAGAAAAGUGCUCAUUUCAGUUGAAUAAAUUUCUCGUUUCAUCAUUAAUGAAUAAUAAGUAUUCCACAAAAUAACAUACAUUAUUUUCUACAAAAAAUAAAAACUAUUUAUUUAUAUAGCCAUGAUUAAUAGUAAAUCAAACAGACUCGAUAUGCGUCGUUGUCAUCUCAGUUUGUGGACUUUUGUUCUUCUGCUUCUUUGUUUGUCUGAACUCUCCAUAAAAGUAAGAAACGAAACCCCAAAGAGAAAGGAAAAGAGCAAGGCCCUUUUCACCUGAAAAAUUUUCUCUAAAGAAAACUACAGCUAAUACCUCAGUAACAGGAAGUAGAACUGCGAUCAUAACCCCAGACAUCAAAGAAGAAGAGCAGUAAAUGACUCCAAUGACACCCACAAAGAAGCACUGCCAAACAAUGGUAGUCCACACUACUACUGUAUAAUAUCUAGCUUCUCCAAGGUUAAAUUGUUUUGCCUCCCUUGAUAUUGCCUGCAAAUUUCAAUCAAUUUCUUAGUCGUUGCUCUUUAAAAAAAAAGAUUGUCUAUAGCUAAGACAAAAUUGAAACCUUGGAAGUAUCUAUAUAUGAUACAAAACUUUUAGGUAAAUCUAUUCGAAUCCAGUAUAUUACAUCCAGCUUUCAUAUACUUUCUAUAUGUCUUCAGUCAACCAUGUCAAGAGUCUUGAUCCCUCUAUGUGGGAUAUGAAUAAUUUAGGGUUUCUACUGCUAAAGUCAAACUCACAACUCAUUACAUGCUUUUGUUCUCUCUUGUCAUUAAGAUCAGCAAACUUUAUUGGAAAUGAAAUAAGGAGAAAUAAAUGAAAAGAGAAAAAAAAAGAAAAAAGAAAAAAGAAAAAAGAAAAAAGAAAAAAGAAAACAAAAAGAGAGGUUUCCAACGAAUUUAAGAAAUCCUAAAAGAUGGACUAUUGAUGUUAGUGAACGCCAAUAGAUCAUCACCUAAAGAGAAGUUGAUAGACUGGUCAUUUGAAGGCCUUAGGGAUCUAAUGGCAAUUAACACCAAACGAGAGUCGAGAAACAUAUAUAUUACGAUCUCUUUUUUAAUUUAUGUGACAUAAUUUGUGUCUCGAAAUUUCAAAAUGAAAAUAAAUUUAUGAAACUUGGGUUUUAAGCAUAUUUUAUAAUAUUUGUGUAUCUUUUAGACUUUUCAAACUUAUGAUUUUAGCAUUGUGUGGCAGUAAAAAACUUCUUAAAACUAGUAGUUUAAACAUAAACACCUUUCAACUGUAAAAAUGAACUAUUAUUUUAUUUGUAUAGACUAAAUAUAGAAAAGAUUUAAAUUAUUCACCCUUCUACCGUAAAGUUCAUUUACAUUUCUAACUAGUAAUAACACGUCGAUUGCUCUUUUACCACGUUAUCAAUAAAUUAUAAAAAUAUAAAAAAAAUAAAAUGUGAUGGAGUGAGUAAGAUGCAUGGGCAAAAAUGAGCUAUAGGGGAAGAAAGAAUUACCUUAAAGUCGUUAUUAACAAUCAUUCCUACGGUGCAAAAAGCAGUAGCAGCAAAACACAUGACCAUCUGAAUCUCCAGCACCAACGUAGCAGUAAUAACUUGUUUUGCCUUCAAGUAAAUCAACUCAAUACAAGGCAAAAUGACUCCAUAUAAAGCUGCUGCGAGAAGUGUCAUCAUAAAACCAAGAAUAUAGGCUUUACUUGUCACACCCUCCGGCCGAUCACCAUUAGAACGAACACCCAGUAAAACAGCACCAACUGUCAGCAGAACCACUGCAUUGAUAGAGUAGGGUGUGAACUUCAGCUUCACUAUGAAGAAAGCACCUACUGCCGUGAAGGCAAGUUGAGCCGCAAGAAGCAGUGAAGAGGUUGACACAGGGAGUUUUGACCCGCCCCACGAAUAGAGAAAAUCAUCAACACCAGUGACAAUGCCAAUGACGAAUGACGCAAUGAAAAUUCGGGGUGUUAUAAAGUAAAACUUGGCACUAGAGCCUUCGGUUUUUCGACGAUAGAAGUAUAAGAUAGCAAGAGGUAUAAAGGUGAGUGGCCAUCCAGCAGUUUGUAACCAACUGCUAAACCAUACUCUUGAACCUCCCUCCACAAAAUAUAGACGCAUCAUUAGAGGGCCACCGCAGAUACCAACAGCAAGUAUUAUACAAUUAAUCAGCAGGAGGAUUCUCCUCAUAGC